GACGAACGCUGGCGGCGUGCUUAACACAUGCAAGUCGAACGGAGUGGAGAACGGGGGAGUAACACGUGGGUGACCUGCGAGGCACUUCGGGAUAAGCCUGGGCAACAGGGUCUAAUAACGGAGAGAGGUGGAUGGGCCCGGGGCCAAUCAGCUUGCUGGUGGGGUAAUGGCCUACCAAGGAGGCGACGGGUAGCCGGCCUGGGAGGGGGGACGGCCACAUUGGGCCUGCGGCACGUCCCAGACUCCUACGGGAGGCAGCAGUGGGGAAUAUUGCACAAUGUGCGGACGCCUGAUGCAGCGACGCCGCGUGUGGGAUGACGGCCUUCGGGUUGUAAACUCCUUUCACCAUCGACGCGUUAGAUGGAGAAGAAGCACCGGCUAACUACGUGCCAGCCGCCGCGGUAAUAC
rnacentral:rRNA from 1 species